rnacentral:rRNA from 1 species
GAACUCUGGUAUUGAUUGGUGCUUGCAUCAUGAUUUACAUUUGAGUGAGUGGCGAACUGGUGAGUAACACGUGGGAAACCUGCCCAGAAGCGGGGGAUAACACCUGGAAACAGAUGCUAAUACCGCAUAACAACUUGGACCGCAUGGUCCGAGUUUGAAAGAUGGCUUCGGCUAUCACUUUUGGAUGGUCCCGCGGCGUAUUAGCUAGAUGGUGAGGUAACGGCUCACCAUGGCAAUGAUACGUAGCCGACCUGAGAGGGUAAUCGGCCACAUUGGGACUGAGACACGGCCCAAACUCCUACGGGAGGCAGCAGUAGGGAAUCUUCCACAAUGGACGAAAGUCUGAUGGAGCAACGCCGCGUGAGUGAAGAAGGGUUUCGGCUCGUAAAACUCUGUUGUUAAAGAAGAACAUAUCUGAGAGUAACUGUUCAGGUAUUGACGGUAUUUAACCAGAAAGCCACGGCUAACUACGUGCCAGCAGCCGCGGUAAUACGUAGGUGGCAAGCGUUGUCCGGAUUUAUUGGGCGUAAAGCGAGCGCAGGCGGUUUUUUAAGUCUGAUGUGAAAGCCUUCGGCUCAACCGAAGAAGUGCAUCGGAAACUGGGAAACUUGAGUGCAGAAGAGGACAGUGGAACUCCAUGUGUAGCGGUGAAAUGCGUAGAUAUAUGGAAGAACACCAGUGGCGAAGGCGGCUGUCUGGUCUGUAACUGACGCUGAGGCUCGAAAGUAUGGGUAGCAAACAGGAUUAGAUACCCUGGUAGUCCAUACCGUAAACGAUGAAUGCUAAGUGGUUGG